AUUGAACGCUAGCGGCAGGCUUAACACAUGCAAGUCGAGCGAGCGGCGGACGGGUGAGUAAUGUCUGGGAAACUGCCUUAUGGAGGGGGAUAACUACUGGAAACGGUCGCUAAUACCGCAUACCAUCAGAUGUGCUUAGAUGGGAUUAGCUAGUAGGUGGGGUAAUGGCUCACCUAGGCGACGAUCCCUAGCUGGUCUGAGAGGAUGACCAGCCACACUGGAACUGAAACACGGUCCAGAUUCCUACGUGAGGCAGCAGUGGGGAAUAUUGCACAAUGAGCGCACGCCUGAUGCAGCCAUGCAGCGUGUGUGAGGAAGGCCUUCGGGUAGUAAAGCACGUUCAGCGAGGAGGCGUUACUCGCAGAAGAAGCACCGGCUAACUCCGUGCCAGCAGCCGCGAUAAUAC
rnacentral:rRNA from 1 species